GGAGGGAUGGAUGAGUGGUUUAAGUCGCACGCCUGGAAAGCGUGUGGGGGUUAACAGCCCCCCGCGGGUUCGAAUCCCGCUCCCUCCGCCA
rnacentral:tRNA from 1 species